UUAAGCGACUAAGCGUACACGGUGGAUGCCCUGGCAGUCAGAGGCGAUGAAGGACGUGCUAAUCUGCGAUAAGCGUCGGUAAGGUGAUAUGAACCGUUAUAACCGGCGAUUUCCGAAUGGGGAAACCCAGUGUGAUUCGACACACUAUCAUUAACUGAAUCCAUAGGUUAAUGAGGCGAACCGGGGGAACUGAAACAUCUAAGUACCCCGAGGAAAAGAAAUCAACCGAGAUUCCCCCAGUAGCGGCGAGCGAACGGGAGCAGCCCAGAGCCUGAAUCAGUGUGUGUGUUAGUGGAAGCGUCUGGAAAGGCGCGCGAUACAGGGUGACAGCCCCGUACACAAAAAUGCACAUGCUGUGAGCUCGAUGAGUAGGGCGGGACACGUGGUAUCCUGUCUGAAUAUGGGGGGACCAUCCUCCAAGGCUAAAUACUCCUGACUGACCGAUAGUGAACCAGUACCGUGAGGGAAAGGCGAAAAGAACCCCGGCGAGGGGAGUGAAAAAGAACCUGAAACCGUGUACGUACAAGCAGUGGGAGCACGCUUAGGCGUGUGACUGCGUACCUUUUGUAUAAUGGGUCAGCGACUUAUAUUCUGUAGCAAGGUUAACCGAAUAGGGGAGCCGAAGGGAAACCGAGUCUUAACUGGGCGUUAAGUUGCAGGGUAUAGACCCGAAACCCGGUGAUCUAGCCAUGGGCAGGUUGAAGGUUGGGUAACACUAACUGGAGGACCGAACCGACUAAUGUUGAAAAAUUAGCGGAUGACUUGUGGCUGGGGGUGAAAGGCCAAUCAAACCGGGAGAUAGCUGGUUCUCCCCGAAAGCUAUUUAGGUAGCGCCUCGUGAAUUCAUCUCCGGGGGUAGAGCACUGUUUCGGCAAGGGGGUCAUCCCGACUUACCAACCCGAUGCAAACUGCGAAUACCGGAGAAUGUUAUCACGGGAGACACACGGCGGGUGCUAACGUCCGUCGUGAAGAGGGAAACAACCCAGACCGCCAGCUAAGGUCCCAAAGUCAUGGUUAAGUGGGAAACGAUGUGGGAAGGCCCAGACAGCCAGGAUGUUGGCUUAGAAGCAGCCAUCAUUUAAAGAAAGCGUAAUAGCUCACUGGUCGAGUCGGCCUGCGCGGAAGAUGUAACGGGGCUAAACCAUGCACCGAAGCUGCGGCAGCGACGCUUAUGCGUUGUUGGGUAGGGGAGCGUUCUGUAAGCCUGUGAAGGUGUACUGUGAGGUAUGCUGGAGGUAUCAGAAGUGCGAAUGCUGACAUAAGUAACGAUAAAGCGGGUGAAAAGCCCGCUCGCCGGAAGACCAAGGGUUCCUGUCCAACGUUAAUCGGGGCAGGGUGAGUCGACCCCUAAGGCGAGGCCGAAAGGCGUAGUCGAUGGGAAACAGGUUAAUAUUCCUGUACUUGGUGUUACUGCGAAGGGGGGACGGAGAAGGCUAUGUUGGCCGGGCGACGGUUGUCCCGGUUUAAGCGUGUAGGCUGGUUUUCCAGGCAAAUCCGGAAAAUCAAGGCUGAGGCGUGAUGACGAGGCACUACGGUGCUGAAGCAACAAAUGCCCUGCUUCCAGGAAAAGCCUCUAAGCAUCAGGUAACAUCAAAUCGUACCCCAAACCGACACAGGUGGUCAGGUAGAGAAUACCAAGGCGCUUGAGAGAACUCGGGUGAAGGAACUAGGCAAAAUGGUGCCGUAACUUCGGGAGAAGGCACGCUGAUAUGUAGGUGAAGUCCCUCGCGGAUGGAGCUGAAAUCAGUCGAAGAUACCAGCUGGCUGCAACUGUUUAUUAAAAACACAGCACUGUGCAAACACGAAAGUGGACGUAUACGGUGUGACGCCUGCCCGGUGCCGGAAGGUUAAUUGAUGGGGUCAGCGCAAGCGAAGCUCUUGAUCGAAGCCCCGGUAAACGGCGGCCGUAACUAUAACGGUCCUAAGGUAGCGAAAUUCCUUGUCGGGUAAGUUCCGACCUGCACGAAUGGCGUAAUGAUGGCCAGGCUGUCUCCACCCGAGACUCAGUGAAAUUGAACUCGCUGUGAAGAUGCAGUGUACCCGCGGCAAGACGGAAAGACCCCGUGAACCUUUACUAUAGCUUGACACUGAACAUUGAGCCUUGAUGUGUAGGAUAGGUGGGAGGCUUUGAAGUGUGGACGCCAGUCUGCAUGGAGCCGACCUUGAAAUACCACCCUUUAAUGUUUGAUGUUCUAACGUGGACCCGUAAUCCGGGUUGCGGACAGUGUCUGGUGGGUAGUUUGACUGGGGCGGUCUCCUCCUAAAGAGUAACGGAGGAGCACGAAGGUUGGCUAAUCCUGGUCGGACAUCAGGAGGUUAGUGCAAUGGCAUAAGCCAGCUUGACUGCGAGCGUGACGGCGCGAGCAGGUGCGAAAGCAGGUCAUAGUGAUCCGGUGGUUCUGAAUGGAAGGGCCAUCGCUCAACGGAUAAAAGGUACUCCGGGGAUAACAGGCUGAUACCGCCCAAGAGUUCAUAUCGACGGCGGUGUUUGGCACCUCGAUGUCGGCUCAUCACAUCCUGGGGCUGAAGUAGGUCCCAAGGGUAUGGCUGUUCGCCAUUUAAAGUGGUACGCGAGCUGGGUUUAGAACGUCGUGAGACAGUUCGGUCCCUAUCUGCCGUGGGCGCUGGAGAACUGAGGGGGGCUGCUCCUAGUACGAGAGGACCGGAGUGGACGCAUCACUGGUGUUCGGGUUGUCAUGCCAAUGGCACUGCCCGGUAGCUAAAUGCGGAAGAGAUAAGUGCUGAAAGCAUCUAAGCACGAAACUUGCCCCGAGAUGAGUUCUCCCUGACCCUUUAAGGGUCCUGAAGGAACGUUGAAGACGACGACGUUGAUAGGCCGGGUGUGUAAGCGCAGCGAUGCGUUGAGCUAACCGGUACUAAUGAACCGUGAGGCUUAACCUU
rnacentral:rRNA from 2 species